UGAACGCUGGCGGCACGCUUAACACAUGCAAGUCGAACGGCAGCGGGGGGAGCUUGCUCCUUGCCGGCGAGUGGCGAACGGGUGAGUAACGCGUAGGGAUCUGCCUGUUAGAGGGGGAUAAGCCGUGGAAACGCGGUCUAAUACCGCAUACGCCCUAAGGGGGAAAGUAUGGGACCGAAAGGCCAUACGCUAACAGAUGAACCUGCGUUAGAUUAGCUAGUUGGUAGGGUAAAGGCCUACCAAGGCGACGAUCUAUAGCUGGUCUGAGAGGAUGACCAGCCACACUGGAACUGAGAUACGGACCAGACUCCUACGGGAGGCAGCAGUGGGGAAUAUUGGACAAUGGGGGCAACCCUGAUCCAGCGAUGCCGCGUGUGUGAAGAAGGCCUGAGGGUUGUAAAGCACUUUAGUUGGGGAGGAAAGCCUGAGGAUGAAUAAGCCUUAGGGGAGACGUUACCCAAAGAAUAAGCACCGGCUAACUCUGUGCCAGCAGCCGCGGUAAUACAGAGGGUGCAAGCGUUAAUCGGAAUGACUGGGCGUAAAGAGCUCGUAGGCGGCUAUAUGUGUCAAAGGUGAAAUCCCCGGGCUUAACCUGGGAACUGCCUGUGAAACUGUAUAGCUAGAAUAUAAGAGAGGUAAGUGGAAUUUCCCGGUGUAGCGGUGAAAUGCGUAGAUAUCGGAAAGAACACCAGUGGCGAAGGCGACUUACUGGCUUAAUAUUGACGCUGAGGAGCGAAAGCGUGGGGAGCAAACAGGAUUAGAUACCCUGGUAGUCCACGCUGUAAACGAUGAGAACUAGACGCAUGUUGGCUAAGGUCAAUGUGUGUUGAAGCAAACGCAUUAAGUUCUCCGCCUGGGGAGUAUGGCCGCAAGGUUAAAACUCAAAUGAAUUGACGGGGGCCCGCACAAGCAGUGGAGCAUGUGGUUUAAUUCGAUGCAACGCGAAGAACCUUACCAGGCCUUGACAUCCUCGGAACUUUCUAGAGAUAGAUUGGUGCCUUCGGGAACCGAGUGACAGGUGCUGCAUGGCUGUCGUCAGCUCGUGUCGUGAGAUGUUGGGUUAAGUCCCGUAACGAGCGCAACCCUUGUCCUUAGUUGCCAGCACAUUAUGGUGGGAACUCUAAGGAGACUGCCGGUGACAAACCGGAGGAAGGUGGGGACGACGUCAAGUCAUCAUGGCCCUUACGGCCUGGGCUACACACGUGCUACAAUGGCUAGGACAGACGGCCGCAAACCCGCGAGGGGGAGCCAAUCCGACAAACCUAGUCGUAGUCCGGAUCGGAGUCUGCAACUCGACUCCGUGAAGUCGGAAUUGCUAGUAAUCGCGAAUCAGAAUGUCGCGGUGAAUACGUUCCCGGGCCUUGCACUCACCGC
rnacentral:rRNA from 1 species